rnacentral:lncRNA from 1 species
UCACAAACCGAGUGAGCUCAUUAGGAAGAUGAAUGUCCGUUUCGUCACACAUAAUUAUCGAAUACUAAGACGGAGAACGUGGAAGUAAGGUAACUCUUAAACAGAAAUAUAUGUUAAACAAUAAUGAAUAUAACGAAAAAAUAAUGAGAGCAUAAUAAAAUAAUAAAUAGGAUAGGUCAGAGUUAACCUCUUCACACAAUAGAAAUAUUAAUUACUACAGUCCCAGUAAUUUCAUGGCCCAAGCUAUGAAAUUACUGGUACAAACAACCAACUCUACCAUCAUCACAACCCAAGCACUUGCAAAGCUAAGAGAUAUAGAAUGGAAAGACAGGGACAAGAUAGUAACAUUCAACUAUGAGAGCCUGUACCCUUCCCUAGAAAUCGAACCAGCAUGCCUAAUAUUGUACCGUUUCUUCCCUACUAAUGCAGCAGAAUUGCAAGUUGAAGUGUCAUUGCUUAGAGACUUAGCUUAUCUCAUAACACACAAAUCAUAUUACAUCUUUAAUAAGAACUUUUAUUUGUAGAGAAAAGGUGUGCCUAUAGGAAGUCCUAUAGCCACCCCUAUCGUGGAGAUGAUCCUAAUAGAUGUUGAAAGGAAUGUUUGGAAUGUUUUGCAAGUGAAUAUGAAGUUUUACCGUAGGUAUGUAGAUAACAUCAUUACAGUGGGAAGAAGGCCAAGAUCCAAAUAUCUUAGAAGAACAUCUCACAAUAAAAGCGUAUGGAUUGGUGCUGAAACAGCAGCAAACCAGUAGUACGUCAGCCCACUUUUUAGAUAUAAAACUUGAAUUGAAGAAUAAGAAGCUACGUACUGCUGUAUGUAGGAAACCAACUUACAAACCAGUCAUUAUGACCAAGUCCAUUUCGUUUUUAUUUUAAAAGGGCUAGUCUUUAUGUUGAUACCUAGGAAGAAAUGGAGAAGGAGCUAGAGUACAUCUAUAGAACAGGCCAACUAUAUGGGUAUAGUAAGGGAUUUCUGAGAAAGAUAUAAUAAAGUACAGCAACCACCAGUUAGUAGAAGUGCCAUGAAAGGAGUAGAAAAUGUCAAAUAUAAACCUGUCGUAUAUGCUAUGAAAGGUUCCAAAGUGGUUAGAAAAUUAGUUGAAAGAUCUAAUAAAAAAAAUGGCCUUUACAAGGUACCCAACAUUAUACAGCCAACUUAGGAAUGAAAAAGAUGAAUUGGAGAAGUGGCCAAAAUCGGGAGUAUACAAAGUGCCAGUCAGGAAUGAUACCAUGAAUGAAGAUGAAGUAUACAUACAAGUAACCAUUAGGACACUUAACCAGCGACUGAAGGAACAUAAAAGUGACCUACUUAAAGAAAAAACUAGUACAGCCCUGGCAAUGAGCACUUAUGAGAAUGACCUACAAGCAGAAUG